ACGGUGAGUAACACGUAUCCAACCUGCCGUCUACUCUUGGCCAGCCUUCUGAAGGAAGAUUAAUCCAGGAUGGCAUCAUGAGUUCACAUGUCCGCAUGAUUAAAGGUAUUUUCCGGUAGACGAUGGGGAUGCGUUCCAUUAGAUAGUAGGCGGGGUAACGGCCCACCUAGUCAACGAUGGAUAGGGGUUCUGAGAGGAAGGUCCCCCACAUUGGAACUGAGACACGGUCCAA
rnacentral:rRNA from 1 species